rnacentral:rRNA from 1 species
AUUGAACGCUGGCGGCAGGCCUAACACAUGCAAGUCGAGCGGAUGAAGGGAGCUUGCUCCUGGAUUCAGCGGCGGACGGGUGAGUAAUGCCUAGGAAUCUGCCUGGUAGUGGGGGAUAACGUCCGGAAACGGGCGCUAAUACCGCAUACGUCCUGAGGGAGAAAGUGGGGAAUCUUCGGACCUCACGCUAUCAGAUGAGCCUAGGUCGGAUUAGCUAGUUGGUGGGGUAAAGGCCUACCAAGGCGACGAUCCGUAACUGGUCUGAGAGGAUGAUCAGUCACACUGGAACUGAGACACGGUCCAGACUCCUACGGGAGGCAGCAGUGGGGAAUAUUGGACAAUGGGCGAAAGCCUGAUCCAGCCAUGCCGCGUGUGUGAAGAAGGUCUUCGGAUUGUAAAGCACUUUAAGUUGGGAGGAAGGGCAGUAAGUUAAUACCUUGCUGUUUUGACGUUACCAACAGAAUAAGCACCGGCUAACUUCGUG